rnacentral:rRNA from 1 species
GACGUUGAUAGCCGGGUGUGUAAGCGCAGCGAUGCGUUGAGCUAACCGGUACUAAUGAACCGUGAGGCUUAACCUUACAACGCCGAAG